rnacentral:lncRNA from 1 species
GAUUUCUCCUUUCGUCCCCGUCAACAAGCCGAAUUGCCCCAUCUUCGUCAUGGCUAGGACAAACUUCUCAAAGAACAAUUCCUGGUCCUCGGCAAAGCUAGUGACAAUGUCCCUCGUUGCAGGAUCCUCAUACAGAUCUUGGUCUGAGGUGAACAGGCCUUGGCGGUUCACCAAAUCGACAAAGUACUUGUUGUCGAAUCGGUUGGGUGAUCGGAUGUCCAAGACCGUAGUGUUGGUGGAGUUUGUGGUGGGGCACACGCCCUUGAGAUCAUGGGCAAAGGUCUUCUCCAUCGUGGGGUCUUGGGUCGGGUAGAGCCGAUUCUCAAAGGAGGUGCAGUGCCCAAGCCCGAUGGUGUGGCCUCCAGAGAGGGCCACCACGUCGGUAGCGUCUAAGUUUUUCUUGGCUAGGGCGGAGAGAAUUGCACUGGCGUUCUCAGUUGGUGCAGGUAAAUUCUCUAAGGUCACAUUUUGAGUCGCAAACGUGAGUCCAUCCCGCCUUCCCAACGGCACAUCAUACUCAGGUCCGCCUGACUGCACACGACGACAAGAAUAACAGAAUUAGAAUCCAGAACUCGGAAAACAUCUGUUGAUGCUCAUUGAUAUGAUGAACAAUAGUAAUCAUAAUUGAGAAAACUUCAAUGAUGUAUAGGACAUGAAGCCAACGGAGAAUUUGAUAGUCUUCUUCGUGUGGAGGUGAUCAUUUGCAAGUCAACUCUCAUAAACUAGAAGCUAGUUGGGAUUAGAUUAUCAUCAAACAGAAUCGUCUACCUAGGUUGUCAUUUCAUCUGCAAUUUCCAAGAACUUUGUGAGCACGUGCUUACCUGACCAUGUUGAAAGAGUCCAAAGACAUUUCAAGUUGCAGUAUUUUAUCCAUAAACAUGAUCCCAAAAUUCAGAAUAGACCUCCGACUGGUUGGGAUCUUAAAAAAAUGGUGAUGACUACCCGUUAAAACUCAGAUAUAAACAACGACGAUGUCUCAGUUUUGACCAUUGAAAUUUGCUGUAUACUACACUCUUUGGCUCAUAAUGACAGGGUUAAUUGUCCUGAGUUUCCAAGAUAAUGCUGCCGACUUACAUGGACAUCUGCUACAUCUCACAAGAUAUUCAGAACACGAACAGGAGGAAACUACAAGAAUCCAGAUAUAGUUUAACCACGCUUGGUUACAUCAGCGAGUCCACUUUCUCAUGAUUUAUAAUUCCUCUUACCAAGCAUCAUCGAACAUUACCAUUGAGAGAGCAAUAAAGUAUAAUUAUCACCAUAACUAAUGAGUACAAUCAAGCCUGAGCCUAAACAAGAGUGGUUAAACAACCCUUGUCAUCGCAUGGCCACAUGACCGAGAUCAAAGUUCCAGGUACCAUGUUGCGAACGCGCACAUUCUGUUAGGUUUGGGGUAUUUUAUACAUCAACUUGAUUUCCAAAAACAGUAGAUUAAUGGGGUGGUUGAAUGUUUAACAGAGGGGGAACUUCCAAUCAGUGAAAAUUCUAUGUGAACGGGUAACUUACUAUAUGUUUGGUUAGUUUAAUAAUCCAAUUAAUCCCUAAAAGGAAAUCCAUUUAUCAACUUGAACAUAAGAACUGUUACAAUUAUCUAGGAAGCUAGCUAACUGACCGAUACUGUUUUCUGCUGUUGCUCUAUUUUGAAAGCUUAUGAUCAUAAUUGCCUUCCCACCACCAAAUGCAAAAGCAUCAUACAGACUGCAAAUCAGUACUAUUUACAGGGACGAGCAUGUUCGGCAAGAAUCUGUAUUUCUAUCAAAUUUUUGAUAGUAUGAGCUCAAGAAUGCCUAAAUGGUUUGUACGUGGCAAGUAUCAUAGUCAGAACUCUGUUUUGGUGUGUUACUCUCUAGUGAUGAUGGAAUGAUAGCUUAAGGGGGGCUUACCAGGACAACGGAGUCACGAGCAGCAAUGGCUGCGAUAUCAGCACAAGAGACUACUCGACCACACUUCUUGUCCACGAGCUCACGGAGGUCAUCGAUGAUCUUGAAUGCUGAUGGUCUCAAGCUCCGGUUCGGUGGAGCGUCCUGCUCACUUGGUCCACUGGCUGAUCCAUCCAGCAACACCGAAGCAUCACAUCCCUGCAUCACUCAUCAGAUCUAAAAAAUAAGCGUGAAUUUGAAGAAUAUUUUAUCAUUUAUUUGAAUGUAAGUGAUCAAGAUUCAAUUGUAAAAGAAACCGUGAUGACUUAAACCCAUCCUAACCUUCAAAGUGAAAAAAAUCCUCGCCCCACACAAUCCGGGCUUAACUAGACUGCUCGUGCAAUCAUCUUAUGAAGACAAUUUACCAGAAAUUAUUACUGCAGCUCUUUAUAACAGCAGAACAUGGGAGUUCUGUGAACUUCUAUGUUCUUCAUUUUAGCAUAUAAAGCACUAAAGAUCAGGACCAACUAUGUCAAACGCUCAAAAAGCAUCCUCCAAAACUUCAACAAGUGUUUACUAUAAGACAGUAAUAUUUGUAUGCUAAAGACGAAGUGACGAUGGCUUCAGGCACCCACAUGACUUCGUAAUCUACCCAGCAUCAUGAAUUUUUUUUUUUUUUUUUAAAGUCCACUUCUUGCAGCUGCUAAACUAGGCCACCAGCUCGAGAAGAUUUUUUCGUUUUUUGUUGGCAUCUCUCAUUUCUUAUUCUCGUCUAUUUUGGUGAAGAUGAUCACACAUCUUGCCAAAAAGUGUGUGUGAACGUUUAACGAUCAGCUUUACCAUCUUACACAAGGACAUGUGAUGAGCAAAUCAAGAUACAACUUCUAAGAAAAUCGCAAAUCUCUUUGCCCCGUUAGAGUGAAUGCGGAUUGUGACGGAGCUCGCUGGGUACCUACCUUAACAAAGCAGUCAUGGAAGUGCAGACGAAGCAGCCCAGCAGCUUGGCCAAUAUCCUCCUCGAACACCUUCUUGAGAUGUUUCUUGAUGACGGACUCCACCUUGGGACAGCUCUUCUCGUAGAAGGACCACGAGAGCCCCUUCACCAAGUGAGCAGAGCUCGUAACAUGAACAUGUGAUGCAGCUAUCACAAGAAAAGAAACCAAAACGAAAGAGCUGAAACGGGAGGCCAUGAUGUGGUCUGGGUCUGGGUCUGAGUUACUUCUGCAAGGUGAGUUCAACAGAGCAAGGGGUCCCUUAUUUAUAGGCAGGUAAUAUGACUUGAUGCAAGAGCAAUUUCGAGUUUUCUAACCUCACACGAGGUUGAAUAGUAUUCAUUCCGAAGCCGCGUGGGAAAGGGAGGUAGCUUGUUCCGAUUCUUAAUGGUGAUCGGUACGGACAUUGACGAAGACCGUGUUCGUGUUCAAGACUUUCCGGAUGGCAUGUGGGGUUGAAAGUUCAAAAUGCCGUGGGAACCCCACAACCAUAAACCUUAUCUCCCUCCUUUCUGUCGUUUUCUUGAUGACGAUGAUUGGACUUUGGGACACAGGAGGCUCUUAUCCGCCAUACGUUCUUCUGCCCAUUUGACAAACUACAGCUAUGGCCGACGUUUGGCAAGUUGGACAUGAUAUUUUGACAGAUAUUUUUUUUUGGUCGAUUUUACUGUAUUUCUAUUCUAACUCCCACCUUCAUAUUUUUGCCCUGACCUAUUACAAGACGUGAAAAUCGAAAUUCACAUUUGAAAUUAAAUCGUCUUCACUCCAAGAUAAAGAUUCUAACAAGUUCCAUUUCGCACUUGGAGCGAUCUUUGUGUAGAAUUAAGUUUGGAUCAUCUUCGAUAUAGAUCAAAUCAAAUUAUUCCACUUGAUCUAGGUAGAGUAUGAAAUAUAUAAAAUCAAAACUAGACAAGGAGGAAAAAGAAAAGUAGAGGGUGAACGGUAAAGAGGAGCCUGACCGAUUGUGGAGUAUGAGGGAGAGAAUCACCGGUCGGUGGUCCAUUGAUGGCAACAAUUGAGGUGGUUACAUUCUCGGGUCGUCACCGUCGCUUGAGAUUUUGUCCCCCCACUCCCUACCUAACCACCUUAUGACCAUUGCAAUGGACAUACUCUAUAGGCGACAACCUUGACCGCCACAACAAUGGUGGUCGAUAUCACAGUGUGUAAGAUUAAAAUAGGAUGUUGCCUAUUUCAUCAUGAUAUAUACUACACUAAUUAUGUCGGUCUAUAAGAUAACAUACUAUAUGAUAGUUGCAAUGUAUGAUAAGUUUACAAAUGAUACGCAGAAUGUAAGAAUAUAGCGAUACCUUACACAAUCCUAUAAUGUGUUUUUUGACUAGACAUUUUGAACAAUCAAAUACAAUAAAUAGAUAAAUAUCAUAUUCUUAUGUUGAUUGAAAUUUAAUAAUCAAUUCAACACUGUUCAUCAUUACUCAAAAAUCUAAUUAGAAGAUUGUGUACUCUUUGUAGUCAUUAGGAAAAAUAGGGUUAAGCAUCAAGCCUGUUUAAUUGGGGAACCGAUUGGAACUAAUCUUGUUAGUUUAGUAAAAACUGGUUCAAUUCCCGAUUCAAAAAUCAAGAACCAAUCCAGAUUAGUUUGGUUCCUCGUUCCAAAAUUGCAAUCAUCAAUUCUACUACUAAGGAAAAAAAAACCCACGUUCAUUAAGAUUCAAAUCAUGAUUUCCAUUACGAAGAAAUAUAUGAAUAACUCCCUAACAAAUUUUUUUUUUUCUUGCUUAAAAGAUGCAUCCUUAAUGUUUAAUAAUAAUUUCUUAAAUUUUUACCUUUAAAAAGAAAAGUGACCGGUUGUUGAGAAUUGCCAUACUCGAAUUAACAAGUUUGCUUCUCAAUUUCGAGAAUACUAUUAAGAAAAGAUAUAUUCCAGAUCCAUUCACCCCUAUAAAGUCCACAAAUCGCGCAGAUCAAUAAUCACCUCGUACGCAUGGAAUCAUUGGACUGUCGAGAUUAGCGGGGUGUUUGGAAAAAUACAAAAAAACUUAUUCUGGCAAAAGUUGGAAACUUUUGAAUUUUAAACAGAGGCAAGAUUCUCGCACAUGCUAAAAGUAGUGAUCAUUAUCAAUUAACAUUCUAACACCUCAAAGGCCUGCAAAAAGAAGAAGAAAAAAAGCCAAUCCUGAGGGCGUCGCAUUUAUUGCAAAAAAUAGAGGUCUGAAGAAAAGUCGUUGCCCUGUGUUAAUUGAAUUUAUAUACCAAAAACAAAUCGUUGCUCAUGAAUCCAUACGUCAUCCUUCCUCAUAAUUAUUGUUUUCCUUCUUCUAUUUCAUGAAAAAUAAAUAAACUAAAAAAAUAAUUUCCUAAUAAUAAUCACUUAUAUCACUUAAAAAUAUUUGUCAAUGGAAAAUAUGUCAAUAUUGACAAAAUUUUAUGUAUAAAAUUUUUUCGUAGAUGAUGAAAGUUUUUUUUUCGUUUGUUCUUUUUUGUAAACAAUACAAGUGAUUAUUUUUAGAAAAAGAUAUUUUUCAAAUCAUUUAUUUUUCACAAAAUAAAUGCAUAUCAUAAAACAUCUUAUUUUCAUUUUCUUGUUCGUGGAUUUACUCAGCAUACUAUCAUUGAUAAUAUAAGAGGAAGCCUUGAAGUUGACAUAUCAUAUAACCAACCUACUCCCACCUUAUUGCGCGAGUGUGUUCGUCACGAGUACAUAUAAUAUUUGAAAUACUUUUACCUGAUUUUUUGUCUCUCUAUUCUUCAAUUAUCGUGAACGGAACAUUACCCAUCUCAUGGUCCUUUUCCUACGCAGAGUACGCCCUCCAUUUUUGAAAAUUAACAUCUUAAUCAUUAAAAAUCAUGCUCGCGCCUCAGAAUUCAACAUGGUAGGAAACGUUCUUUAUGAGAUUAGGUGAGAUGGAAAGUGUAAUGAAUGAGAAGUUGAGGCCGACUUCUUUCCAUACUUUCCCCCCUUGCAAAGGUCAGAAAUUAAUUUUAUAGCAAAUGGGUCUAGAACCCCUCGAGGCUUGGGGCGUAAACUUUAGGGUCGUCGGUCGCCGCCAGGACAAUCGCAUUCAAUCGCCUGCAACUUCUGUUGAAAUGGUCUAAGGUCUUAUCUUCUUCUUCCAUAAUUGGUGGCUGUGCAUUUUUCAAUAAACGGGGUAGGCGCUAGAGAACAGGGUGCGAGAUGACUUUCGCUAUGCCUUUUUCUCCUUUUUCUGUUUUUCCAGACCGACUUCUUUUAGCCUUUUUCCCUUUUGCGAUUCGCGUGCUUUCUGCAUUCAUCUCAUCUUUCUUUCCUCUCUUUAGUCAUAUAUGGAGAAAAAAAUAUGCGAGAAGUCUUAAAUCUAUUAGAUUAAUGCAAAGUUAAUUCUAAACAUUUUAAUGGUAUCAAUUUAAUCAUAAAUCUUUUAAUCGAGUAUCAGUUCAAUUCUAUUUUUUUUUUAUUUAACGUCAAUUCAGACAUUUCGGAUAAUUUUAGUUAGAUAUUACUGACGUAGAUGUUAGCUAUCUUAUGUGAAAUAGCCAGUGCUAACACAGACAACUAUUGAUAACAUUUUUUUAAAAAAAUUUCAUUUAAUAAUUCUUUUCUUUUUCCUAUUUUUCGAUUCUUUCUCUUUCUUUUUUUGCCUUUCCUUCCUUCUUCCUCCAACCAAUCGCUAGACCUCCGCGACCAACCAGUAGUGAGGCUCAAGCCUUACCGCCAAUGCAAAAAGGGGAGUGAAAUAAAAAAAAUAAAAAAUAAAAAUGCUAUUAAAAUUUGUGUAAGUUAAUACCGGCGUAAGAUAAGCGGUGUUCGCAUCAACAAUAUGAAACCAAAAUUAGUUGAAAAGACUGAAUUGGUAUUAGUUCAAAAAGAUUAUGACUAAAUUAACAUAAAUAUAAUACGUUUAAAACUCUUUUUACACUUUUUCCAUCCUACGUAGAAUAUUGAGGGCAUUUCCGUGAAUUCAUUUGUUAUGAUUUCACCUCUGAUUAGGCUUUUUUUUUCUCUCGUUUGGGAAAAGAUCAUGUGUUUACGACGAAAAUGUGAAGUUAAGGUUAACAACGCCAACUAAAUGUCAAUGAAUGCGAAUCAGGUCGGUUCUUGGUUUGGUCAGAAAUAACACAAACACACUAUUGAACGCAUUUGAAAUUAGAUUGUGUUUACAAAUAUGGACGUCAUCCAUUUGCAAAACUUGCCCAAACGUCAAUGGAAGCGAUGCUGGAGUGUGGAAAAACUGUGCAGAGGUAUGUGCAGCUUUUGGGCCCCAAGCUGGAAGUACCAUAAUCGUGCGUCCUUUUCAUUGGAAGUGGCUAGGUCGUAGAUUUGUUGAUACCACAUGGGCGAGCAUGAACUGUCCUUUUUGCUUUUUUCUUUUUUUCAUGACCUGUCCUUGACCUUUCCGAAUGUCUAGACUUCAAGAAGGCCCACGAGAAUUCCAAAUCCACAGAAGAAGGAAGGCCCACGAGAUUAGCCUCUGUGUUGAUCUCCAGCCUCGUCAUUUCUUUUUGCUCAGAAAAUCAGGUUUUGAUUCAGGCAUGUCCUUUGCUGACUUACGGAAUUUCAAGAAUAUCUCAUUUUGGACCAAUGCCAAUAUGGACAAAAGGGUCGGUGUAGAAAGACUUCCCAUGUAAUGGACACAAUGAGCGCAAUGCGCAUCCGCUCUUUAGAUCAUAUGGUUUUUAGGCUCGCAUGCUCUCAAAGCAAAAUCCCUUAAGAAGACCUUAAACCCACUCACCGGAACAGCAAGAUCGAUACCCGGUAAAUGCAGGAUCACAAAGACCAAACACUUCAUAUUCACACACAAAUUUUGUGGAUGUAGCAAUUAUUCAAGAUGUAAUAACCCCCGCCAUUUACUUUUAUCGAGUCAUUUACACAAAGACGCAGUUCAAGUUUCAUCAUGUUGCUCAAGUUAAUUUCUUCUAAAUAAAGACAUAGUUUCGAAGAGAUGGUUGCCAUUCUCCGUCUGAAAGCAUCUCGUCAACAUGGAGCAAUGAGAUGAUGCAUGGACACAUUUUUGCAUCAUUGCUACAACAAAUUCGAGUCCGGAUGAAAAGGAGAGAGAUCGAAAUGGUUUCGAGAGAACACCUCUGUGGGAUUAAUAUGGACAUGCAUGGGAUUGUCCUAAGAUAAGUAUAUUACAGUCUAAGCAAAAUUCUCGGAGGGAAAGUCAAUCUCAGUUUUUCGUUCUAUAAUCAUAGACGAACCAACCAAGUCAACUUAGUAUCCAUCAUUCUUAUUUCCGAAAUAUUCGAUGAGGAUGUUUUUGAGGAAGCAUAUUGGAGAUGAGAUUGACAUGAUGCAGACCAAGAUGAUGCUUGCAUUGGCAUGUGAAAAUAGCAAAGAAAGUAAACUCUCUACUUCAAUCAUUCUCAGAGAGGAGAUGGUCGUUCCAGCAAAUCCGGAUUCCCAACAAAAUUAACUGCGAUCGACAUGGUCUUGAAUAACUCUAUCUAGAUACGAUAUCCUGUUGUCUAUCUAGCGUGUAUCAAGUUAUUAACAAUUGCAGAAGCUGCAUCUGCAUGUCAUUGCCUGCUUCAGACCUCAAUCAACUCUACAAAGCUAUUACAUUUUCUCAAUAAGGCCACGAACAGAGUAAAACCUUGUUUAAAACAUGGAUAUUUGAUGUUUUAUAAUAAUUUCUUAAGUUUUUCCCUUGAAAGAAGUGAUUGAUUCUCGGGAACUACCAUACUCAAAUUAAUCGGUUUGAUUCUCAAUAUGAAAAUAAUAUUGAUCCUCAAUUCUAGGUCUGGAAUUGAUUUAUUCUAGAUCGACUGGCCUCACCACUGUAAAAUCCACGAAUCGUGUAGGUCAAUAGUCACCUCAUAUGUAUAGAAUUAUUUGAUUGUUGAGAUUAGUCAGGUGUUUGAAAGAAUAAAACAAAACUAUUCUUGCAAAAGUUGGAAAUUUAUGUAUUUUCAACCGAAGCAAUAUUCUCGCACAUGCUAAAUUUAGUGAUCAUUGUCAAUUAACAUUCUAACACCUCAAAGGCCCGCAAUAAAAAGCCAAUCCUGGAGGCGUCACGUUAUUGCAAUAAAAAGAGGUUCGAAGAAAAGUCUUGGCACUGUUUUAAUUGAAUUUAUACACGAAAAACAAACCGUUGCUCAUCAGUCCAUGCCUCAUGCUCACUUGGAAUUAAUGUUGCUUCCAUUUAUUUUGCGAAAAGUAAAUAAUUUAAUAAAAUAUUUUUUUUAGAUAUAAUCGCUUGUGGAAAAUGUUUUAAUGUCAACAAUAAUUUAUGUUUAUAAAUUCUCAUGGACGCUGAAAUUUUUUUCUCAUUUGUUCCUUUUUUGUAAACAAUAAAAAAGAUUAUUUUUAGAAAAAUAUUUUUCAAAUCAUUUAUUUUCUUUAAAAACAAACACAUCUUGUAAAACCUCUUACUUUCAUUUUCUUGUUCGCAAAUCCACUUAGCAUAAUAUCAUUGAUAAUAAAAGAGAAACCCUUCAAAGCAAUAUAUCAUAUAACCAACCUGCUUCCACGUUAUUAUGCGAGUGUCUUUGCAACCUGUCAUGUCUGCAUACAAUGCUUGAAAGACCUUACCUUUUUUGUUUGUCUCUCUACUUCAUUUAUCGUGAGUAGAACAUUAACCUUCUCACGAUCCUUUUCCUAGACACCAUAUGUACACCCUUCACUUUUGAAAAUUAACAUCUCGUCAUUAGAAAUCAUGCUUAGACCUCAUAGCUUCAAUAUGGUUGUAGGAAACAUUAAUUAUGAGAUUAGGUAAGAUGCAAAGUGUAAUGAAUGAGAAGUUGAGGUUGGCUUCUUUUGAUACUUUUCCCCCCUUUUCCACCCCUUGCAAAGAUGAGAAAUUAUUAUCAUAACAAUUGGAUCUAGAACCCCUAAAGGCUUGGGGCGUAAGCUUUAGGGUCGUCGGUCGUUGCCAGGACAAUCCCAUUAGUCAAAUUCAAUACCUGCAGCUUCUGCUGAAUGGUCUAAUGUCUUAUCUUCUUUAAUGGGUGGCUCCAAAUUUAGCAUCGGGGGGACCUCUUUUCAUCAAUGCGGUACACGCUAGAGAAAAAGGUGCGAAAGGACUUUCGCUGUGCCUUUUUCCUUUUUGUUUUCUCACCUUAUUUUUCAAUGCUUACCGCGUUCAUCUCAUCUUCCUUUCCUUGCUUCAGCCAUGGAGAACAUCAAGGGGCAGCUUUCGCAAAAUCCAUUUAUUAUGAGUUAACCUUUCAAUGGGCUUUUUUCUUCACUUGAGAUAAGAUCAAUACCUGGGGAAAAACGGGUUUACAUUAGGUUGUGAAUACUAAUUGACUCGGGGCUUGGUUCAGUCCAUAAUAACCUAAAACAUGCUGUCGAAUGCAUUUGAAAUUAGGUUAUGUUUACAAAUAUAGACAUUAUCCAUUUGCGAACCGACAGGCUAUGUCAGCAUAUAUAACUUCGUCGGUCAGAGUAGUGAAAAACUGUGCAGAGGAACUUGUAGCUUUGGGCCCCAGGCUGGGGUACCAUAGUCGUGUGUCCUUUCCUUGGAAGUGGCUAAAAGUCGUAGGUUGCUGAUAUCUCGUGCGCGAGCAGGACCUGUCCUUGACCUUUUCGAAUGUUUAGAGUUCAAGAAGGCCCAUCAGAUUUCCAAGUCCACGAAAGAAGGAAGGCCCGCGAGAUUAGCCUCGGUAUUGAUCUCCAGCCUCGUCGGUUCUUUUUGCUCAGAAAGUCAGGUUUUGGUUCAGGCAUAUCCUUUGUUGACUUAUGGAAUUUCAAGAAUAUUUCAUUUUGGACCAGUGCCAAUAUGGACAAAAGGGUCGGUAUAGAAAGGCUUCGCAUGUUUUGGGCGCAAUGAGCCCAAUGCACACCCACUCUUUAGAUCGGAUGAGUACAUCUGAAUUAUGCUCGCAUGCUCUCAAAGCAAAAUCUCUUAAGAAGGCCUUAAAGCCACUUGCCAGGACAGCAAGAUCAGUACCCGCUAAAUGCAGGAUCACAUAGACCGAACAGCUCAUAUUCACACACAAAUUCCGUGGGUUUAGCAAUUAGUAAAGAUGUAACAACCCCAUUUGACUUUUAUCAAGUCAUUGGCACAAAGGCGCGGUUCAAAGUUCGUCACGUCCUCAAGUUCAUUUCUUCCGAAUAAGGAUGUAGUUUCAAAGAGGUGGUCCCUCCUCUCCAUCUGAAAACAUCUCGUCGACAUGGAGUGAUAACGCGUCAAAACAUUUUUGCAGCUUCGCUUCAACAGUUUCAAGCCCAGAUGAGGAGGGAGAGAGAUUGAAAUGGUUUCGAGAGAACACCUCCUUUGUUGGAUUAAUAGGGACAUGUAUGGAAUUUACUAUAAAUAUAAUACAAUCUAAGCGAAAUUCUCGAUGAAAAACUAAAUCUCAGUUUUUCGUUCUAUAAUCAUAGAUGAACCAACCAAGUUGACUCAUCAUCGAUUCUUCUCGUCUCCGAAAUAUUUGAUGAGGAUGUUACUGGGGAAGCAUAUUGGAGGUGAGAUUGACAUGAUGCAUACUAAAAUGAUCCUUGCAUCGGCAUGCGAAAAUAGCAAAGAAACUUAACUCCCCGUUUCAAUCAUUCUCAAAUAGGAGACCGCUGUUCCAGCUAAUUCGGAUACACAACAGCAUUAACUACUAUCGACAGAGUCUUGAAAUAGCCCAGAAAAUCUAUUUAGAUGGGAUAUCAUUUUAUUGACAGAGUAUGUACAGCUGCAUCUGCAGGUCAUAUCCUACUUCAGACCUCAGUCAAUUCUAUAAAGCUAUUCACAAAUUCUCAUUAAGGCAACGAACAGAGUAUACCCUCUACUUGCCACCAGAACUAGACUAUUGACAUUCCCUUUCCGGCUAAUUUAACUUCGGCAAAGAAACCAUACUUUUGAUGAAUCCCCAUGGUGACUCUGCUAGGUAGGCUUCCUGCCUUUGAAGGGAAAGGUCAGGUGUUCAAAACCCCUGCUGGCAGACCAUUGGGUGUAUUACGCAUGGUGUCCUGGUAGUGGGUCCUGGGCUAGCGUCACCUGGGGGUUUACGUGGCGGCUGUCGGCCAAAGCGGUUCCUCCGACAAAAAAAAAAAAAAAAAACUCGAGAACUCGGCUCAUACCUGGCCUAUCCCGAUUAUGAUGGCUAGUGAACAUACACGCAAUGCCGAAGUACUCCUCCACCCUCGCUUCGACCAGGCCAUCCCUUGAAACGGCCGGAUCGACCAUCUCCAUCUGCCGGUUCUCAUCCACCAUGUUCCGAGCCCAAACAGUCAUCUCGACCUCCUCUCCCUUAUCCACCACCGAUAAAUCAGGCCUCCGACCCGUGGUGAUCUCCACCAUCAGAACACCAAAGCUAUACACAUCGGCCUUCACGGUCACCGCCAACCCUUCCUUAUACUCUGGCGGCGCAUACCCCAUCGUCCCGGCAAAUUGCGUGGACACAUGGGAUCGGGAGUCCUUAAUCAUCCUUGCAAGCCCGAAAUCUGCAAUGUGCGGCUCGAAUUCGGCGUCCAACAGCACGUCACUCGCCUUGAUGCCUCUGUGAAUGAUCGGCAUUGGCAAUCCGUGCAUGUACGCUAAUCCAGUGGCCACGCCCCUGAUUAUCUUCAUCCCAGUGUCCCAGGACAAGGGCGGCCUCUCGACCGAGUGCCUUGACCACGAGAUGUCACCGUUCUCGGACGACGACGUGGUGUCAUACAGCCACUGGUCGAGGCUUCCCUUCUCUACGAACCCAUAGACCAAGACCCUAUCCGAAUUCGACAUCCAGUAACCGAGGAGUUUGACAAUGUUCGGGUGGUGAAGCUUACCUAAGGCUUCCAUCUCGGCCCUGAACUCCUGGAACCCCUUGAAGGCGUUGGGCUCGAGCUUCUUGAUGGCAACGGUGAGGCCGUUGGCGAGGCGGCCCUUGUAGACGAGGCUGAAGUUGAUAUUGCUAGUAUAAGCACCUAGAGGGAGGUGAAUAGGUGUAAAAAUAAUUUCUCGAGAUAUGAAAGCAAUACUAGGCAAACAAUAGAAAUGAAGUUCUCCGAAACAGAUUAUGAUCAAAGUAAAUAGAGAGUAGGGAAGAGAAAAUUGAACACAAGGUUUAUAGUGGUUCGGCUUAUUCCAAGCCUACGUCCACUCUUCUGCACUGAUAGCCCACCGACUAGAUUUCACUAUGAACAAAAGAGAUGUUAUAGCAAUACUUUUCCUUGAUUCCACAAUGUAGAUACUCUACCACACUUCCUCAAGGUAUCUCAAAAUAUAGACUCUCUUUUGCGUACAAGAUUUCACUCAGUAAAUGAAUUGACUAAAAAUCAAGGAGUUUCAGACUUUGGAAUUCUUCUAUCGUGCACACUCUCGAACAACUGAAACGUCUUCCUUUUAUACUCCUUUGCGCCAUCAUACCCGUUGGUACUUACCAAAUGAAUUCUUUCAAUCUUCCUGUUGGAUAGAAUCAAUUAGGAAGAUCAUUCGAGCUAUUAAAGGAACAUGUCGAUAACCUAUCAAUCCUGCUUGCCCAUACAAUCAGGAUCUUGGUUUCCAUUAAUAGAACAUUCCAAGAAUACUUUGCUAAUCAUCGGAUUCUUAAUCAAUCUUGAUUCGAAUAAAGGAAUCUGUUAUGUCAUAUCUAGCCAAGAGAUCUUCUCUAGUAGAUAAGGCCAAAUCCUUAAUGAAGCACUCAGUUCUAAAUAGCAUUUCUUCAACGGAUUAGAAACUGUCAAUGAGAAUAGACUUUGAGUCUUGAGUCUAGUAGUCCGGAGGUCUUCAGACUUUAAUAGUAGAGUCUGCAAAUCUUUAGACUAGACUGAUAGAAAAGUUUUGUCAACUUCAAAAUAUUCCAGAAGGAUUUAUCCAACAGAAGCUGCUGUCGCCGAUGAUCAACUGGUGGUGGAAGUUCUCAGUGGCCGUCUGAAGCUCGGCCAUGGAGAUCUAGAGCUUGGGGUCGAAGGAGGCGUUCUCGGCGCCGGCGAUGAACGAAAGCUCCUCCUCCUCCGAGUUCGAUAUCGUCUUCCGCCUGCGCCAAUUGUAGGUGAUGGCGAGGCAGACCAAGAAGAGGGAGAUGCCGACGAGGCUCGCGACUGCAACGACGAUUGCUUGGAUAUUGGAGUUCAUGUCAGAGAGAGAGAGAGAGAGAGUGAGUGAGUUUGGGCGUUUAGCUGGCUAAGGAAGGUGGGUGCGAGGAAGAGGAGAGAGAAGUCGACUGAGAAUAUAUAUAGAGAGAGAGAGGAGGUGGCAGAAGAAGAAGACCACGACGACGAGGACGACGACUGAGGAGAGGCGAGACGAUCUUUAUUUAUGCCGUAAAAAAAAAAAACCGGGGGAUUUGCUUUUAGGAAAAUGAUGAGUCAUUCUCGGUCAGUGAUCAACUUAGUCAACGGUGUUCUGCUUCUACUGCACGUUCGAUUAUUGAAGGUGCAACUUUCUUUUUUAAUUGUCACGAAUGUACAUUUCUGAUAAAUUUAUCUUAAUUUAAUUUUUUAAAUCAAUAAUCUUAAAUUAGUCUAUUUAUAAUAGAUUUACCGCAGACUCAUUUUUCUGUAAAAAUUUUUAAAUCGAUAUACUUAUGAUAAAUUUAUCAUAGAUUUUUUUUUCACUAUAAAAAAUUAUAAAUCAAUGCAUUUAUGAUAAAUUUAUCUUCAUUUAGUUUCGAUUAAAUUUUUACUGUUAAAUUUAUUGACAUGGAUGAUUCAAAGUGAUGUGAUAUGAGCAAAUAUUAUGAAAAACCCCAAAUUGAUAAGUUAAAUAUGACUCUUUUGAUGACCAAAUUUUUCCCCAAUCCCAUGAUCAUGUCUCCUGCUACAAGUGAUAUCUGAAACUAUCGUUAUCAGAGCUUUGACGAUCGAGUCAUAGUUUUGGUAAUGAGAUAGAACUUUUAAGGGCUCUUUCAAUGGCAACCCGUGUAACAUGAUUAAAUAUGCAUCGACCAUCAACGAAAUAUAAUCAUAUCAAAUUUAGGACAAUAGUCAUGUCUAAAGAAAUAUCACCGGUUCAAAAUCUUAAUAAUUGAUAACAUGGAAAGCAAAUAAGUUUUUCGCUGAUUAUAUCUGAAACGGUGUACUUAUAGAUUGCGUCGCCAUUGACUCAUUAAUUCGAAGAGGCCAUAUAGGUCAAUCUUGUGUCUGCUGAGUUGGUCGUGAGUACCGUACGAUUAUUAAUCACGUCUCACAGGCUGGACACAAACACAAUUAAUCCCUAGCCAUGUCAGCUAAUUUUGGGUCGUGCCAGAAAUCACUCUCUCUAAAGUGACCCGGCGGCUGCUCAUGCGGUUGCCGUCUAGCUUACUGCAUAUAGGUCGAAUUUAUUGAAGAGACGCGAGUUGGGAAAUUGCACCACACUUGCGUUGCAAAUUCCACUUUGGUUGGAAAUCAAGCUGGCUUCGGGCUCUCGCGCUGCUGAUCCGAAGUUAGAAAGCUGUGCAAUCUAAUCUGAAAUUCCACCUUGAGUUUAUGAAAUUAUUUUUUAAUACUAGUCUUCGAUCUCAAGGUUUUACAUGCUAGGUGGACCUCUCUCGCAAGGUUUUCAUCCAAGAGACCGUGGAGUUUAAAUUUUUCUUAAAACACCAGUCAUGGUAAGAGUGUCAGAAUCAAACUAAAAUUUCUUGCAUUUGUGGUUCGAUUCGGAUAAUGGUUAAAGCCACAUUUCGGGUUUGAUUCAAAUAAUGGUAAAAAACGCAUUUCUUUUUACCAAUUUGGUUCGAUUAACCGAACCAAAUGAUAAAAUAUAAAAUCCAUGCUUAUAGAUAUAAUCGUUGGAAGCCCUGUCAAUACUCUCUCUCUCUCUCUCUCGUCUUCUCCUGCUCGAGUUCAAGACAAACGGAAUUGCAUUGGUCUCUUCAAAGCAACACCACCAGCAGGUCCCCUAUUGCCGGGGAUGGCGACGGCGCCGACGACUAGGUUUUGGACCCAAAACCCACAAAUGAAGCGACUCACUUAUUACCUUCUGCACAUAACUCUAGGAGAUUGAAGGAUUCGGAGAGUUCACCUCGGCUUUGAGGAUUUCAGGUGAGUAGUUCUUUUGAAUCAAACUAGGAUCUGCGAUAUGGGAGCUCUGUUUUGUGUAUUCUCUCAGAUCUGCGAUCAUCUGAAGAAACCCCUUUUUUUGCCUUUAUUUGCAACCUUUGCUGAUGACGGGCUGUGCUUUUGGCUUAGCUAUCUCGACUUUGCUUCAAAACCAAAGGGUCCCUCUUUCUUCUGUUGCCUUCUUCCUUUCUGGUACUCCGGUGUUGUUUGAUAACGCUUUUUUGAAUCGACACAUCAUUUAACCAACCCGCUCACCCAUCAUCAUGUCAGUGAGUUUAUAACUCUGUCAUGUGUGCGUAUGAUACUCGAAAGACUUUACCCUUUUUUUCUUUCUCUAUUCUUCAUUAAUCGUGGACAUAACAUUAACCGUCUCACAAUUCUGGUACUGCCUCUCCACUUUUGAAAAUUAUAGUUUAUUCUUGGAAAUCAUGCUUACACCAAAGAAAUUCAAUAUGAGACAGACAAAGUGAAAGUGAAGAUGCUUUUUUUUUUUUCCAAAUUUAGAUGGUACGUAAUGUCAAUUACAAAAUUGUUAAAAUGCAAAGUGUAAUCAAUGAAAAAUAAAAUGCCGUUUGGCAAAAUUUUGAAGUUGCUUUUGUCGAGAUGCAAUUGCAUCUCUAAAUCUCUCUAAAGGCCUUUGACUCAAGGGAGGUCUGGAAAUAUUUUGAAAUGCAAAUAGACUAUUUUUUUGUUACGAAAUCGUACGUCGAUUCCAGAAAAAUAACGCUUGCAAACAAUUCACCAGACAGAAUAUAAUAAUAAAAUAACAGAAUCAGAUGAACACACCAGAAAAUUUGUUAUCGAAGUUCACCCAAACCUGGGCUACGUCUCCGCGCAGAGGCACUCUGCGAAUCCACUAAACUUUAGAAAAAGUUGGAAUACAAUAAUGAUCUUCUCUCAAAAUCAGAGCACAAAGAGAUUGAGAACCCUCAUCAAGAAAAAAAUCACUUUUUUCUUCUCUCUUUUUCUUGCUCCUCUAUUUCCUUUUUCUGCCUCUUGACGGCUAGGGUUUUGCCAUCGCUAACAUAAAGAUAUCACUUUUAACCUAAAAGGAAAUCUAAUAGAAAAGACAAAAAAAACCCCUAAAAACAAAUAAUUGACUUCAUCUAUAACAUUUUUUUCCCUGCCAACUUUACUCUCGCUCAACUUCAGAAUUUUGCCUUCAAAAAUACUAAUUUUACCUUUGUCUAACAAGUAGUUGGUGUGCCACUAACCUGCCACCGACGAGUGGCCAGCGAGCUACCGCCGCCCUCACUUGAGGUCGAGCGACCUUAGGUGAGGUUGACCAACAGCCGAUUUGGUUUGCUGGUAACGAUUAAGUUUCACUAGCAAAUAGUUUUAUCUUUUUUUAUUAAAACAAUUAGCAAAAAAUCCUUUAUCAAGUAUAAUCUUUAGCAAAUAAUAUUUUCAUCAAAGUUGUUUUUCAAUGUGUUUUAAAAUACAUUUUAUCAAACACCAAUAGCAUUUCGUGAAAUCGUUUUCAGUUCCCAUAGAUAUUCAUCAAAAUCGAAUCAAACGCACCCCAAAACUCUGAAGGGCUUGGGGGCGUAAGCUUAGAGUCGCCGGUCACCAUCGCAUUGGUCAAUGCCUGCAACUUCUGUUGAAGUGGUCUUCUUCUUCUUUAAUUGUUGGCUCCAGAAUUCGCAUCCCUCCGGGACGUCCUUUAAUUAAUGCCGCGUGCUAGAGGACAAGGGGACAAAGGACUUUCGCUAUGCCUUUUUCCUUUUGUUUUCUCAUCUUACUUUUCACCUUUUUCCCUUUGAAUUUCGGUGCUUACCGCGUUCAUCUCAUCUUUCCUCACUUCAUAAUGGUAAAGGGCAGUCUUGCAAAUUCGUUCAUUAUGAUCUAACCUUUUAUUGGGCUCUUGGCUUGUUUGAGAUACGUUUGAUGCUGGGGGCAGGGGGACAUAUUUACGACCAAAAGCAAUAGCAUGUCAAAUUAACGUUUACGUAAGAAAUCUUCGUCAAACAUAGCCAGCUGAAAUUUGAAUUAAAGUCAAUCGAGUAGGUGUUUCAUUUAUAGCCUCAAUUGAAUUAAAAUAUGCUACUAAACACAUUUGGAAUUAGGCUACAUCUAAAAAAGUGGACAUUAUCCAUUUGCGAACUUACCUAAAAAUCAAUACAGGCGAUGGAUGUCCCGUGCUAAUGACUUAAUCGGUUAGAGUUGCGGUAAACUCUGCAGAGGAACGUGCAGCUUUGGGCCCCAAGCUGGGGUACCAUAAUCGCGUCCUUUUUAUUAGAAGCGGCUAAGUCGUAGAUUUUGCUGAUAUUCCUGUCCUUGCCCUUUUCGAAUGUCUAGACUGCCCAUGAGAUUUCCAAAUCCACAAAAGAAGGAAGGCCCACUAGAUUAGUGUUGAUCUCCAGCCUCGUCAAUCCUUUUUGCUCAGAAAAUCAGGUUUUUGAUUCAGGCAUGUCCCUUGUUGACUUAUGGGAUUUCAAGAACACUCCUCUUAGAUCAGUGCCAAUAUGGACAAAAGGGUUGGUAUCGAAAGGAUUCGCAUGUUUUGGGCGCAAUGAGCCCGAUCGCACAUCCUGCUCUUGAGAUCAGAUGGAUGUACCUGAAUUAGGUUCAUAUACUCUCGAAGCAAACAAUGAUGCCGUCCCUUGAGAAGACCUAAAUCCACUCGCCGGGAUGGCAAGGUCGGUUCCUCAUAAAUGUAGGGUCACAAAGACCAAAUAGCUCAUAUUCACACGCAUGUUUCGUGGGUUUAGCAAUUAGUCAAGAUGUGAUAAUCUCAUUGAACCGCCAUUCACUUCUAUUGAAUCAUUCGUAUAAAGAUACGCUUCGAGUUUCGUCACGUCACUCGAAUUCAUUUUUCCAAACGAAGUCAUGGUUUCAAAGAGAUGGUCACUACUCUCUAUCUGAAAGCAUCUACUCAACAUGGAGUGACCACGGAAGGAAACAUUUUUCCUUUAACAGAUUCAAGCCCGGAUUAGGAGGGAGAGAUCAAAAUGGCUUCGAGAAAAGACAUCCUUGGUGAGAUUCGCGGGGACAUGCAUAUAAUAGGAUCGGAAUAAGUAUGAUACGGUCUAAGCGAUAUCCUCAAUCUCGAUUUUUUAUUCAAUAAUCAUAGAUGAACCAACAAAAUCUAACUCGGCAUCAAUCCUUUUUGUUUCCGAAAUAUUCGAUGAGGAUGUUCCUGGGGAAACAUAUUGGAGAUGAGAUUGACAUGAUGCAGACCAAGAAGAUCCUUGCAUCAGCCUGUGAAAAUAGCAAAGAAACUAAGACUCUCUGUUUCAAUCAAUCUCAAUUAGGAGGCCGUCAUUCCAGCAAAAACCCGGAUUCACGACAGCAUCAAGUGUAACCAACAGAGUUUUGCAAAAGCCACAAAAUCUAUAUAGAUACGAUAUCAUAAUGUCUAUCUACUCACAAGCUUAACCUUGAUUCCUUCUCUUUCUGGGUGAUUCAACUUUGGCGCAGAAACCAUACCUUCGAUGAAUUCCGCCAUUUUCAUCCGAAUGUAGGCUCCAACAACUCCAGAACUCGGCUCAUACUGGGCCUUUCCUUUGCAUCCUCGCUAGUGCACAUACAUGCAAUGCUGAAGCACUCCUCCACCGUGGCUUUCACCAGGCCAUCCCUGGAAACGGCCGGAUCGAUCAUCUCCAUCUGCCGGUUCUCAGCCACCAUGUGCCGAGCCCACACGGUCAGCCCGACCUCCCUUCCCCUAUCCACCACCAGUGGUAAAUUGGGCCUCCGACCGGUCGCAAUCUCCAGCAUCAGAAUACCAAAGCUAUACACAUCGCCCUUCACAGUGGCCGCCGUGAACCCUUCCUUAUACUCUGGCGGUAUAUACCCCAUCGUCCCGGCAAGUUGCGUGGACACAUGAGAUCGCGAGUCCUUAAUCAUCCUAGCAAACCCGAAAUCUGCGAUGUGCGCCUCGAAAUCGGCGUCCAAUAGCACGUCACUCGCCUUGAUGUCUCGGUGAAUGAUGGGCAUCGGCAAUCCGUGCAUAUACGCCAAUCCACUGGCCACGCCCUUGAUUAUCUUCAUCCUAGUGUCCCAGGGCAGGGGCAGCCUCUCGGGCGAGUUCCUCGACCACGAAAGCUCGCUGUUCUCCGACGUGGUGUCGUACAGCCACUGGUCGAGGCUCCCCUUCUCAAUGAACUCGUAGACCAAAACCCUAUCCGAAUUCAACAUACAGUAGCCAAGAAUCUUGACGAUGUUGGGGUGCUGAAGCUUACCUAAGGUUUCCAUCUCGGCCCUGAACUCCUGGAACCCCUCGAAGGCGUCGGGCUCAAGCUUCUUGAUGGCAACGAUGAGGCCGUUGGCGAGGCGGCCCCUGUAGACGAGGCCGAAGCCGCCGUCGCCGAUGAUAUUCUUGGGGUGGAAAUUCUUGGUGGCCGUCCGGAGCUCGGCCAUGGAGAUCCGGAGCUUGGGGUCGAAGGAGGCACUCUCGCGGCCACGUUUCCGCUUGCGGCGGCUGCAGGUGAAGGCGAGGAAGAUGAAGAAGAGGGAGGCGCAGAUGAGGCCUGCGGCCGCGGCGAUGCCUAUUUGGAUGUUGCGGUUCAUGUCACAGAGAGAGAGAGAGAGAGAGAGAGAGAGAGAGAGAGAGAGUUAAGAGUUUGGGAGUUUAGUUAGACGAGGGAGGUGGGUGUGAGGAGGAGGAGAGAGAAGUCGACAGAGUAUAUGUAGAGAGAUAGAGAGAGAGGAGGUGGAAGAAGAAGACGACCGAGAAGACGCGGGAGGGUCUUUGUUUUUUCGCCGUAAACCGGGGAUUUGCUUCUAGAAAAAUGAGGAGAAAUUUCCGAUGGACCACCAACACUUUCCGAAAAAUUCGUAUCAUAUUGAACACUUAUUCAACACUUUCCCAUACAUUUCGACACUUAAGUCCACACGUGUUAGAAAAUUUGAGACCUGAUUAACUCUCCUGACACUCUCUCAUAUUCAAAUCUAGAAUUUCGACAUACGAGUUUGGAAUUCCAACACGUAAUUCCGACAUGCAAGGGUCAAUUUUAAAUUUUUUUAAUAAAUUAUGAGUCCAAAUGUAAGUAUGUAAACAAAUAAUAAAAAUAAUAAAGAGGAAAGAAAGAAAAACUUAAUAUUGUCUUCUCUUUCGACUCUCAUUUCCCGUGAUACACGGUUCAUCUCUCAAGUUUGUUUUUUUCUCUUCUCUUCCGACAUGUUCUGACAUACAAGUCUAAAAAUGUGGAUUGCUUAUUUUUUUUUCUUGAAGUUUUAUGAAUUAUUGAAAUGGAAUUGAAUUUGUCAAAUUGAAAUAAUGAAUGAUAUUAAUGAAUUAUGAGUUUUUGUUUUUAGUAUAUAUUCAUUCUAUGCUCUUUAUUUAUUUAUAUGUUAAUUUGAAUAAAAUAAUCACAAAAAAGAUAAUUUAUCAUAUAUAUACAUUUUAAUAUGCAUCCUAACGUAUUAGAAUUCUGCAUUUUUUAAUAAAUAACGUAUUGGUGUAUUGUGUCGUGUCAUGUCGUCAGUGUUAAUGUUACUUAGGUCAUUUCUCAGUUGGACUUUGAUGAACUUAGUCAACGGUGGUCUACUUCUACCGUACAUUCAAUUAUUGACAAUGCAAACUUUUUUUUUUCAUUAUUGUUAUUGUGAGAAAUCUUAUAUUGAUGUACAUGUGACAAAUUUAUCUCAAAUUAACUUUUUAAUCAUUAAAAAUCUUAAAUUAGUACAUUUAUGACAAAUUUACUUCAAACUCUUUUUUUUUUACCAUAAAAAUUUCCAAAUCGAUAUAUUUAUGACAAAUUUAUCAUAGACUCAUUUUGUUUACUAUAGAAAAUCAUAAAUCGAUAUAUUUGUGAUAAAUUCACCCUCCGUUACUUUUCGUCAAAUUUUACCGUUAAAUUUGCUGACAUGGAUGAUUCAAAGUGAUAUGAGCAGAUAAAAAAAAAAAAAACCCCAAACUGAUGAGUUAAACCUGACUCUUUUGAAGACAAAAUUUUUCCUUGAUCCGACGAUCAUGUCUUCCGCUACAACUGACAUUUGAAACCAACACUAACAGAGCUUGGACGAUGGAGUCGUAGUUUUGAUAAUGAGAUGGAACUUUUAAGGGCUCUUUCAAAACACGACAACUUGUGUAACACGAUUAAAUAGUGCAUCAACCAUCAACGAAAUAUAAUCAUGUCAAAUUUAGGACAAUAUUCGUGCUCGAAGAAAUAUCGCUGGUUUAAAAUCUUAAUAAUAGAUAACAUGGAAAACAAAUAGAUUUUUCACUAAUUAUAUGUGAAGGGGUGCACAUAGAGAUUGUGUCGCCACUGACUCAAUAAUUUGAACAGGCCAUAUAAGUCAGUCUUGUGUCUGAUGAAUUGAUUAUGAGUACGAUACGAUUAUUAAUCACAUCUCCCAGGCUGGACACGAACACAAUUAAUCCCUACCCAUGUCAGCUAAUUUCGGGUCGCGCCAGAAAUCGCUCUCUAAAGUGACCCGGCAGCUGCUCACGCGGUUGCCGUCUAGCUUACUGCAUAUGGGUCCAAUUAUUGAAGAGAUGCGAGUUGGGAAAUUGCACAACACUUGCGUUGCAAAUUCCACCUUUGGUUGGAAAUCAAGCUGGCUUCAGGCUCUCGUGCCGUUGGUCCGAAGUUAGAAAGUUGUGCAAUCUAAUCUGAAAUUCUACCUUGAUUUUUGAAAUUAUUUUUUAAUACUUGUCUUGGAUCUCGAAGUUUUACACGCUAGGUGGAUCUCUCUCGUAAGGUUUCCAUCCAAGAGAUCAUGGAGUCCGAAUUUUUCUUAAAACAAGUAGGGCUGUCACAAUCAAAUUAAAAUUUUGUUUAUUUUCGGUUUGAUUCGGAUAAUAGUAAAAACCACAUUUCCUUUCACCGAACCAAACCGAAUGAUAAAAUAUAAAAUCAUGCUUAUGGAUAUAGUCGUCGGAAGCCCUAUGAAUACUCUCUCUCUUCUUCUCCUGCUCGAGUCCAAGACGAACAAAGUUGUAUCGGUCUCUUCGAAGUAACACCAUCAGCAGGUCCCCUAUUGCCGGGGACAGCGACGGCACCGGCGCCAACCACUAGGUUUCCGACCCAAAGCCCACAAAUCAAGCGACCCACUUACUACCUUCUGCACAUAACUCUAGGAGAUUGAAGGAUUCGGAGAGUUCACCUCGACUUUGAGGAUUUCAGGUGAGUCAUUCUUUCGAAUCAAACUAGGACCUGCAAUAUGGGAGCUUUGUUUUGUGUAUUCUCCCAGAUCUGCGAUCGUUUGAAGAAAAUCCUUUGUUUCCUUUACUUGCAACCUUUGCUGAUGGCGGGCGAUGCUUUGGGUUUAGACGUCACGGGACUUUGCUUCAAAAUCAAAGGGUAGUGGAUGGAUAAAUUUAUGUUUGUUCGAUUUCUUUUUUUCAGACUAGAAAUCUAUUUAGUAACAUUAGCUAAUUUUCUUAUUUUCCAAAGCAAAUCAAGGUGUGGAUAGUAACAUUUUCAUUUCGAAUAAUAAUUUCUUUUCAGAAAUAGAUCUUUUCUAUUUCUACUCCUUAUAAUCAUUUCUGAGUAAAACAACGAGUUUGACAAUUAUACAAAAUUUAUAUUCUUGGAAUAAAAAAUAAUAGGAAUGCGUUUAGUACAAUCCAUAAAAAGAAUAAGAACACGUUUGAGUCGCCACCUCCGCAAUAGGCGACUAGUGGCGGCGAUCGUUGGCAACAGUGGCCGGCUGGCAGAUGGCAGCCCGAGGGGAGUGGCAAGGAAGAAGUAGAAAAGAAAAAGAGAAAAUAAAAAAAAAUUACCUAUUUUUAGAAAUUGUUCCCAAAAAUAAGAAACUACUUUUUUUACUCUUCAUUUAUGUUCUAAAUCUAUUCACAGGUUACUUUUUUAUUCCAAUGAAUAAAAAAAUUAAUUAACGUUAUCAAAUUAAUUUAUAUUAUUUUCUUGUUUCGGAGAGUAAAGAACAAAAGAAUAGAGGAACAGAAACGUUCCCAUGCGCUACCUUAGGCCGCAUUUGGUAACGCUCCCGGGAACAAGUGCUUAUGUUCUUUUGUUCCUAGGAUUGGGAACAAGUACUUCUGUUCUUUUGUUCCUAGGAGUAGAAAUAGAACAAAAACACGUUUUAUAAGUUUUUUUGUUCCUAGGUUCCUGGGAACAAAUUCGUAGAUUUGGAAUUGAAACAAGAAACAAAAAAAAAUUACUUCUUAUUUUCAUGAACAACUCAAAAAACAAGAAUUAAGCUUUUUUUUUCCUUUCCUUUUCUUCCUUUUCUUUUUUUUUCCUUACUCUUUCUCCUUUCUUCCCCUAGCCAGUCGCCGGCCUUGGUGCCAACCGGCUACCUCGCUAAAGCCUCACCAGCCCUCAACAAGGUUGCCCCAAGCUUGCCGGCCAUUGGCUCGAUCCCCCUAAGCCUCCCAUGGCUAGGGAGGCUCCCCUGAGCCUUGCCAUGGCUAGGCGAGACCCAACCUCACCUAGAUUUGGGCGAGGCCCCCCUCAGGCAGACCUUGCCGGCCCUUGUCUAGCCGAUUGCUAGCCGACAACCGAUUGGAGAAAGGAGAAGAAAAAGAAAAAAAGAAAAAAAAGAAGAAGAAAAAAGUAAUAAAUUUAUUAAGAAAUUAAAAGAAAUUCUAAUUCAUAAAAAUAUAUGGGAUCGUACCAAACGCAUUUUUUUCUCGAAAAUAGAAAUUUUGCGUGGUUACUAAACAUGUUGAAAUGCUCAGAAACUAUUCCCAAGAAUAGAAAUAGGAAAAAGUGUUUCUGAAAGAAAAUUGUUCCUUUACCAAAUGCAUCCUUAAUAGCUAGAUAAUAAAUUUGAAAAAGAAACAAAAACAUAAUUUUUGGUUUUUAGAAACGAUUUAUGAAACAAGACAUUUUCUUUUUUUUUUCUUUUCCUUUUCUUCUUCAUUUAGCCAGUCACUAGGCCUCAGAGAGGUUGACCUCACCUAGCCAUGGUUAGGUCGCCGACUAGAAAUGAAGAAGAAAGGAUGAAAAAAGAAAAGAAAAGAAUUUAGAAAAAUCUCAAAAAAUUAUUAAAAAAUUAAAAGAAAUCUUAUAUCACAAAAAAAUUUGAAGUUCGUACCAAAUACAUUCCUAUUCUUUUUUUAUUCCGAGAAUGGAAAUUUUGUGCAGUCAUCAAACGCGUUUAAAUGCUUUGAAACUUAUUGAGUGAAUAAAAAUAGAAAAAACUAUUUCUGAAAAAAAAAAAGUUUUCGGGAAACACAUCCUAAGUAUAUUUAUGUUCCUCCUUGUCCUAUCACUAAAGCGCGAAAGUAUAUGAGAUGAGUCAAAUAAACAAUCUAGAAAGAUUUAAAUUCGGGACUUUUUAUUAUGAUACGAUGUGAAAUUUUGUAAGACCAUUUUUAAUUGCUCUAAAAACUUAAGUCGUCAAAUUAAGCCAUCAUUUGAAUAUUAUAUUCAACGAAAAGGGCUUGCAAUUGCUGAGUACUGCAUAAUGGAAUUGCACCUGAUUUUCGGGAUCUCAUUAGGAAUGGAGUCGAUUGAACCUGGUCGCAUUCGAAAUCUAAAAGCUCUUGACAAACAAAAGCAAUCGAGACCAAUGCAGUUCAUGCAAACAAACGCCUCAAGCCUUUGAAUGAUCACAGUUCUCCGAAUUCAAAUUCCCAAGCAGUAGGCUCGCACGCAACGUCUUGCCAAGUGACACAAAUUUUGAGCUUCUGCUGAUUAAAUAUUCUGGACAUACUCAUAAACAGCUGAUGCAAUUUAUUAGACACUGCCACGGUCUAUAAACAAGCAAGCAAAAGGAGCAAAAGUCACACAUCCUAGCAAGACAAAGUUAACCCCGGCUGAUACAUACCCAAACUUAUAAGGGGUCACGUCAUUUCAAUUCAGCAUAGCUCUCCAGGUCCUCUUCCACCACGUACUUCAAGAGAUCGGGGUUCUCAGAAUUCCUGACCGAGCAGUUGGCUCGGAUUUCUCCUUUCGUCCCUGUCAACACACUGAGUUGUCCCAUUUUCGUCAUAGCUAGGACAAACUUCUCGAAGAACAAUUCCUGGUCCUCGGCGAAGCUAGUGACGAUGUCCCUCGUUGUGGGAUCCUCAUACAGAUCUUGGUCUGAGGUGAACAGGCCUUGGCGGUUCAUCAAAUCGACAAAGUACUUGUUGUCGAAUCGGUUGGGUGAUCGGAUGUCCAAGACCGUAGUGUUGGUGGAGUUUGUGGUGGGGCACACGCCCUUGAGAUCAUGGGCAAAGGUCUUCUCCAUGGUG